UAAUGAUUUAAAUUAAAAGAAAAAAAAGAGUGAGUACGUAGUAGAGUUUUGGAUGGAGGGAAAAUUCCCACCUAAAAUGACCCUACUUUAUAGAAUGACCCAAUAAGGCCCACCAUAUAUAUAUGACCACUUGUUUGAUCUUGUUAACCUAAUUCAUCCACCUCAAACCGCCUUCAUCACUCCCAUUCAAUAUUCCACCCCUCUCUCUCUAGAACUAGUGACCCUCUUUGUAAAAGAAAGAAAAUUGACCUUCUUCUCCACUCAUUUCUCUGCAAAAAAAAAAUUAAGGUAUAUUUCAUCAGCUCUCAGCUCAUUUCGCCCAUAUCACGAUUCACGUCUCUUCUCCUCCACAUAAUCAAGUAAUGUAUGGUGGAUUUGAGGAGUCUAAUGAUGAGAGGUACACAUAUCUUGAAACAAUGGAAUCUCGAAAUCAAACAGUUCAGAUUCAACCUGCUACUGUGACGCCCCCAAUCAUACGAAUUGCACAAGGUAGUGGAUGUAUUUCUAAAGGUGGACGAAGAUCAGACGUUUGGAGACAUUUCACUCUUACUGAGAUACUUGAUGGUAAAACACCAGUUGAUAGCACUACUAAAAAAAAACCCACCACCUAUGCUACUUGUAAAUAUUGUGGAGUGGUUAUCAAAGCUAACUCAGUCAUGGGUACUUCAACAUGUAGACAUCAUCAUGAUAUAUGUAAGCUUAAACCUAAAGAAGGUUCUGCUUCUGAUAAUUCUAUCUCUUCUUUUGAUCAAAAACUUUGGUUAAGUAAGUUGGCUACAGCUAUUAUUUGUCAUGCAUAUCCUUUACGAAUUGUCGAGCAUGAAUUUUGUAGAGAAGAGAUUACCUACUUGAAUAGAAAUGUGAAACAUGUGAGUAGGAACAUUAUUCUUAGAUAUUGUAUUUGUGAGCAUGAUAAAUGCAAAGCUAUGUUGUUUGAUACUUUGAGUAAAAUUGGUGGUAAGGUCAGUUUUACUUGUGAUUUGUGGACUUCUUGCACUAAUCGCGGUUACCUUACUUUGACGGCUCAUUAUGUUGACAAUGAUUGAAAUCUGAAGUCUAAAGUUUUAAAUUUUAGAUAUUGCCAUCCUUCGCAUUCUGGUAUUGAAGUAGAAAAGUUUGUUUUUAAUCUGAUUAAAGAAUGGAACUUGCAAUAUAGAGCUUUCUCUAUGACUGUUGAUAAUGCUCGUUCUAUGGAUUUGAUGGUGGAUUAUCUUAGAAAAGAUGUCAUGAAUUGUUCCCCACUUCCUUGUGACGACAAAUUUUUCAUGUAUGUUGUAGUGCUCAUGUCUUGAAUUUGAUUGUUAGGAAAGGUUUAGAAUUUGUUGAUGAAAGUGUUGUUAAGUUGCGUGAAGUGGUCAAGUAUAUAGAUGGAUAUGAUUCUAGGUUGUGUCAGUUUGAGCAAGCUGUUGUUGAUACUGAAUGUGUGUUUAAUGGAAAAUUAAGUCUUGAUGUUGUUACUCGAUGGAAUGCCACCUAUACAAUGCUCCAAAAAUCUUUACAAACUAAACCUGCACUGAAAUCUUAUAUCAACAGAGUUUUGGGUAUUGAUUAUAAACUUUCUGAUGAUGAGUGGAUACUCUUCAAGAUGUGUGCGACUUUUUGCAUCCAUUUUAUAAUAUUACCACUUUAUUUUCUGGUUCUCAAUAUCCCACAUCAAACUUGUAUUUUGAGAAUGUUCUUUUCAUUGAGUAUUCUAUCACUCAAGCGCAUAAACAACCUAAGCUUGCCGAAAUGGCGUCAAUGAUGCUGGACAAAUUUGAGAAUUAUUGGGAAGAUUAUUCUUUGAUACUUUCAAUUGUUGAUGUUCUUGAUCCUCGUUUCAAAAUUCAAUGUGUGAGGCAAAUGUUGAACCUGCUAUAUGUUGGAGAGGAAUGUGAAAGAAAGGUUAAAAGGGUUCAAGAUGCUCUAGGUGAAUUGUGUUCUUUCUAUUCCGCUCAAGCGCCUCUUUCUAGCUCAAAGCAAAAGACUAGCAGACCCUAUAAUGAAUUUGAUGAUGGUAAAGACGAUGAUGGUCGAUCUUUUAAACUAUCAACUAUAUAUCAGAUGAUCUUGAUGCUUAUUUGGUUACACCUCGGAAAAAAUUGGUUGUGAAAGAAAAGUUUGAUGUUCUCCGGUACUGGAAAUCUGAAGUUGAGAGGUAUCCCACAUUAGCUGGAGUUGCUAGGGAUGUUUUGGCUAUUCUAUGAACAUAUGUUGCCUCUGAAUCAUCAUUUAGCAUGGGUGGUUGUAUUUUGACUAAGUAUAGGGGUGCUCUUCUUCCUAAAAACGUUAAGAUGUUAGUUACCACUCAGAACUGGUAUCUCGGUUAGUCGGUUAUGAUACCGAAAUUGAUGAAGAUGUAUUUUAAUCAGUAAGGAAGAAGUAACUGAAAGUUGUACAUCAUCUACUUGAGUUCUUUACAAGUAAAGGGGGCGCAAUCAAAUGUUCAUUGCUGCUACUUCAACAUGGCAUUAUGGUCACAUUUUGUAUUUAUUAAAAAGCCGUAUAUUUUAGGCUUAGGCUAUGUUCACCUUUUGUUGUUAAGCUCAAAAGUAUUAUAGAGAAUUUUGUAUGGUGACUAACUAAUUACUAAAUAGUAAAUAACUAAAAACUAAUUGAUCUUUGGUUUCUGUCUACCCUUACUGGUGGCUUUUGUAAUUGAUAUUGAGCUAUUUCCUCUAUGGUUGCAAUUUAAACUUAAUUUAUGCAUCAUAAAAGAUGCUUUUGGUUGUAUAUGUACUUGUAUGAAAUGAUCUGAUUUUCUCCUAGUUAUGAUAUAAGUGUUUUUUAGGUA